rnacentral:rRNA from 1 species
AUUGAACGCUGGCGGAAUGCUUUACACAUGCAAGUCGAGCGGCAGCGCGGGGCAACCUGGCGGCGAGCGGCGAACGGGUGAGUAAUACAUCGGAACGUGCCCAGACGUGGGGGAUAACUACUCGAAAGAGUGGCUAAUACCGCAUACGAUCUAAGGAUGAAAGCGGGGAUCGCAAAGACCUCGCGCGUUUGGAGCGGCCGAUGGCAGAUUAGGUAGUUGGUGGGGUAAAGGCUUACCAAGCCCGCGAUCUGUAGCUGGUCUGAGAGGAUGAUCAGCCACACUGGGACUGAGACACGGCCCAGACUCCUACGGGAGCAGCAGUGGGGAAUUUUGGACAAUGGGCGAAAGCCUGAUCCAGCCAUUCCGCGUGCAGGAUGAAGGCCCUCGGGUUGUAAACUGCUUUGUACAGAACGAAAAAGCUACUUUCUAAUACAGAGAGUCCAUGACGGUACUGUAAGAAUAAGCACCGGCUAACUACGUGCCAGCAGCCGCGGU